GAGAAAGAGGAAGAAUGUCAAGCAGGCUCUGUGCUGUCAGCACAGAGCCCACACGGGACUCGAACUCACGAAAUCGUGAGACCAUGAACCAAACCCAGUGGAAAUUGGGAGUCAGAUACCCAAGCCGCUGAGCCACCCCGGGGGCCCCGAGAGGACAGAUUCUUUAAUGGGAAGUAUCAGAGGAGGUAACGACACAAAGGGAAAGCAGCAAGACCUUUUUUGUUUCACUCAUUAAUACGUUGACUCUUGUUUCACGCCCACUAAGUGCUGGAGCGUUCUGGGCACUUUGGGAAUGCAAAGCAAAUAUGAGGCAUCCCUUUUGCCAUCCAGAAGUUCAGUGCAGUGAAGGUAGACACGCCUGCAAAUCAUUCUCUUUUGUUUUUUAAUUUCAAAAUCAUCAUAAACUUAUAGGAAAGUUGCAGGUACAAGAUGAAGACAUUUUUCUUCCAUCGCUUAAUGCGAAGUUGCCGAUCUGUCGUCCCAACUCUGAUAACCAUGUCUCUUAUUUUCUGUAUUCUGAUGCUCUGACAGCUGGGGUCUUGCUGCCCCUGGAGGGGCCGCCCCUAGCAGGGUAGCCCGUUCCUAAAGAUGACGAACAACCCGCAUCGAGCAUGCUUUUCAAUGCAAACCGACCAAGCCAGAGUCCGCACCCAUGAUCUACACCAAACACCUGAUCACCCCAAAGCAGGUACCAGACAAGAAGGACAGCUUCUCUGCCCAAGAGCCUACUGAUAGUUCAAAACAGCCAAUCCCACGCCCGCUCGCCCCGCCUCGCCUGUUCUUCCCAUGGAAGCGAGAGUAAAAGCUCUGGUCUACACUUUCCCUUCACUCCCUCUGCUUCCUUACAGACACUGCUUCCCCUUGUGGGCCUGUGUGGGGUGCCACGGCUCCCGGGGACUAUAACCAGCUAGAUAGAUCUUCGACGGCGGUCUCUCGUUCCCGUACCUAAAUGCUAACAAAACCUGUUAAACCGCGGUCAUCUGCGACUACUUCGUGCGCACUUCCUACAUAACUACAAAACAACUCUUAAAUUUUAGAAAUUAACACUGAUACGUUACUGCCAUCCAGUCUUCAGACACCUUUUCGGUUUUGCCAGUUAUCCCAGUAAUGUCCUCUAGAGCCAAAGGAUCCAGACCAGAAUCAGACAUCACGCGUAGCCGUCAGGCCUCUUUAGCAUCGCGUAGGCCGGAACGGUUCCUUGGCCUUUCCUUGACCUUCAGGACCUCGACACUUAUUGAGAUUACAGGCCAGUUAUUUUGCAGGAAGUCCCUCGAUCGGGCCUCUCUGAUGCUUCUUCGCACGAUUAGGCUCAAGUGCUGCGUCUUUGAUGAAAUGCCACAGAAGAGACGCUGUGUCCUCAGCGUGUGCCUUCGGUGAGAUGUUCCAGCCUCUUCUUGUACUUUCCUUGCCCCAGCUCCAGAAUUGACCGUUUCUCCCAGGAGUCCUGUAUCUUUUGAGAGGAUGAUUGUAUUGAGAAGCCAAGCCCCAGGCACUGGAUGUGUUCAUUUCCAUGGGGGUGUUGCUGCUUCCAGCCUUCUUGGGGAGCAGAAGGAGGAAGCAUCAUUGUAGAGGCUGGAAGUCUGAGGUCAAGGUGUCAGCACGGUUGGUUUCUCCCAAGGUCUCUCUCCUUGGACAAAAGGUGGUCGCCUUCUCCUGUGUCCUCCCACGGACUUUCCUCUGUGCGUGUCUGUGUCCUGAUCUCCUCUUCUUGAAAAGACACCUGUCACAUCAGACGAGGGCCCACACAUCUGCCUUCGUUUUCACUUAAAUACGUCUUUGAAGACCGUAUCUCCAAAUACGGUCACACUCUGAGGAUCAUCAGUUCCACAUGAAGCCAAAAGGUCCCCUUUUUUUUCUUUUUUUCUUAACAUCUAAACUGGCUUCGAAUGGAGACAGACUUCUCCUUUACUUAUUUCCAUCUUACUUUUUUUACAAACUAGUAUCCGUGAGCGUGCAUUUUAUGCUACGUAACACAAGGGCAUGAUUUGACCGCAGUUUCUUUUUGCCACGAGGGGUUGGCACAAAGCUUCUCUCUGCAUCAGGUUCUGCUGCACCAGCUCAGCGAGGAGGAGUGUGCAGUGCCCGGGCUCAGGCCGCAGAGCUGGGCUGUUCGGGGCAAGACUCCCGAUCUGGCUGGCAUGCCCUCUCCUCUGCCGUGAAAUGGAAGAAUUGCCCCCGUCAGGGCGCCUAGUGCCUGGAGAACGCUCAACAACAAACAACUUCGUGCCGAAUACUUGUGGGAAUCAGAGAGAGAGAGAGAGUGUGUGGCCAAAAGCCCCCGCAACGGUACCCGCCAGCCCAAGAGAAGAAUCGAGAAAAGGGGCAGUAGAGAAAGAGCGAUAGAUGGCAAGCUUUAUCAUUUCUGGCGAUGGGCCUUGGUGAUAGGGUUAAGGAAUUGGUGCAGAAGAGCGGAAGUCAAAAAUUAGGGGAACUGCGACCCGUUUUCUUUAGAUAAACCGUAUCUUUAUAUGAAGAAGGUAGAUUACACAGAGCAUCACGCUUUUCCUUUGGUUCCAUUGCGCACCCCGGGCGGGCAUCCCAUCCUCAGACCCGGCUCUGCGUCCCCCUAAAUCCCGGGGAGUCGUGCCUCCCUGGCCACCGCAGUAAGAAGCGGUCUGGGGGACACACUCCCCCAGGGUGGCCAGCGGGCACCUUCCCGUGUGCAUGAAAGUUCACUGAACUCGCCCCCCUGCCCCCACCCCUGGCCUUGUUCUCUUCCCUUCCAUCAGCAGCUCAGAGCUGAGCUGUCCACUAAGCUCUCCUCCACGCCGUCCAAAGGCACUCGUCCCCGGACUCUGAAUUAGGGCAGAAAAGAGUCUGAAAGGUCAAACGCAGAGUAGUUCCUCUUUCGGUAUCAAAAUAAAGCAUUCCUUGCAUUUCCCUGAAAUUUCUUCUUCCUCUUCUCCCUCUUCUCCUUCUCCUUUGAGACCGUCCGGGGAGAAUUUCCCACGAGCCGAGCUACGCUACAUCCUCGACAGGCUGGGGCUCGGUGAGACCCCACUGAAGUCGCGGUCUGCUCAUUUUAAAACACCAAAACCCCAAGUUUAGCGAGUCCGGAGGUUCCCGAGCUUGGGGCGCGCCUGGGUGGCUCAGCCCGUUGAGGGUCUGACUCUUGAUUUCGGCUCAGGGCACGACCGCGGGGUCGUGGGAGCGAGCCCCUCUGUUCUUGCACACUUCCUACAGAUCCUCGUGGCUGACCCACGUCUCAAAAUUUCUUCCCCGGACAUGACACUUCACACGCACACGCGCGCACACACACACACACAUGUGCAUAUGUCUGCGUGCAUGCAAAGCUAUACACAUGCAUCUAACACCCCAUACACAGAACGCCUGCAUACCCGCAUUCCUGCACAAACACACACGAACAUCCUCACAUCGUGCUCCUACAUACGUGCCCUUACCCCGCCCCCCACAGCCCUGAGCACACACACUCAUCCACGCACACAAAUGUCUAUACACAUAAUUACACCCUGAACACCCAUCGGUGCACCUACCCUGACGCACACGCUCCCCUGCGUGCACACACCCUUACACACGUGCCAAUACCGUUCCCACGCACACACACCCCUGAACACACGCUCCCCGUACACACACAGACCUGCCCGCACAUGCACACGCGCCCGGCCACUGUUAGAACACGGAUGAAAGCGGAAGAAGCUAGGGUCACGUGUUAUCAUUUUGUAUUUCCAAUAAUGGGACCAAGGGAAAUUUUCUCUCUGCGUUAAUUUUUUUUUUUAAUGAUGUUAUUUGGCAAUACAUAUAUACGGAGAGGAGAAAGAUCAUUUCAGGUCAUCCAGUCAAGAAGUUUUCGUGCUGAGGAGACAUUAGAGGCAACCUAACUAAGACCAUGUCAAGAACUGCACUCAGAAGACACCUUUGUGUGCCCUCAUUUUGUUUUGCUUUUUAAAAGAUUAUGGAAUUGAAAA